GUGAGGAAUUUUCCGCAAUGGGCGAAAGCCUGACGGAGCAAUGCCGCGUGAAGGAUGAAGGCCUAUGGGUUGUAAACUUCUUUUCUCAGAAAAGAAUUAUGACGGUAUCUGAGGAAUAAGCAUCGGCUAACUCUGUGCCAGCAGCCGCGGUAAGACAGAGGAUGCAAGCGUUAUCCGGAAUGAUUGGGCGUAAAGCGUCUGUAGGUAGUUUAAAAAGUAUUCUGUCAAAGAUUAGGGCUUAACCCUAGAUAGGCAGAAUAAACUUUUAAGCUACAGUUUGGUAGAGGCAGAGGGAAUUCCCCGUGGAGCGGUGAAAUGCGUAGAUAUCGGGAGGAACACCAAAGGCGAAGGCACUCUGCUGGGCCAAUACUAACACUGAGAGACGAAAGCGAGGGGAGCAAAUGGGAUUAGAUACCCCAGUAGUCC
rnacentral:rRNA from 1 species